CCCUUAGAUGUCCGGGGCCGCACGCGCGCUACACUGAAGGAAUCAGCGUGGCUUUCUCCCUGACCCGAAAGGGUUGGGAAACCCGUUGAAUCUCCUUCGUGAUAGGGAUUGGGGCUUGAAAUUGUUCCCCAUGAACGAGGAAUUCCUAGUAAACGCGAGUCAUCAGCUCGCAUUGAUUACGUCCCUGCCCUUUGUACACACCGCCCGUCGCACCUACCGAUUGAAUGUUUCGGUGAAGAUUCCGGAUAGGACUUUUUUGAUUUAUUUCAAUUUUGUCUUAAAAGCUAUCUAAACCUCAACAUUUAGAGGAAGGUGAAGUCGUAACA
rnacentral:rRNA from 1 species